CAUUGCACUUGUCUCGGUC
rnacentral:ncRNA from 3 species